UAAGGUUCGAUUCGAGCGAAAGCGAGAAAGCGUUGCCGCAGGCAACGACCCGAAGGGCGAAGCGCGCAGCGCUGAGUCAUCCUUCCCCCACCACCA
rnacentral:sRNA from 3 species